rnacentral:rRNA from 1 species
GACGAACGCUGGCGGCGUGCCUAAUACAUGCAAGUAGGACGCAGUUGCGAACGGGUGAGUAACGCGUCUGUAACUACCUGUUAGAGGGUGAUAACAAUUGGAAACGAUAGCUAAUACCGCAUACUAGUAGAUUGACCUGCGUGGUAUUAGCACGGAGGUGGGGUAAUGGCCUACCUAGGCAACGAUACAUAGCCGACGUGGGAGGGUGAGCUGACACGCUGGGAGUGAGACAAAGCCCAAAAUGCUUCGGGAGGUAGCAGUAGGGAAUAAUGGGAAAUGGGGGGAAGCAUGAACAGGGAACGGCGCGGUGUAGAAGAAGGGCAUAGGAAGUUAAAGCGGUGUUGUUAAGGAAGCGGUACUUAACCAGAAAGGGACGGCUAACUACGUGCCAGCAGCCGCGGUAAUAC